CCUGAUGCUUGGAUUUGAAGCGGAGCUCCUAUCAUUCCAAUGAAGGGCCGUUCUGAAGGGUGGUUCCGCUGCUCGUUCAUGGUUCCCACUAUCCUAUCUCAUCAUGUAUGUGUGUAUGUAUUUUCGGAGAGGGAGGAGAGGAGCUAGACUCUCACGGUGGUCGUCUUUGAGAUAGGCUUGUGGUUUGCAUGACCGAGGAGCUGCACCGUCCCCUUGCUGGCCGCUCUUUGGAUUGAAGGGAGCUCUGCAUCCUGAACCAUCCAUCC
rnacentral:pre_miRNA from 1 species